rnacentral:rRNA from 1 species
CGGCACGGGUGAGUAACACGUACCCAACCUGCCGUCUACUCUUGGACAGCCUUCUGAAAGGAAGAUUAAUACAAGAUGGCAUCAUGAGUCCGCAUGUUCACAUGAUUAAAGGUAUUCCGGUAGACGAUGGGGAUGCGUUCCAUUAGAUAGUAGGCGGGGUAACGGCCCACCUAGUCUUCGAUGGAUAGGGGUUCUGAGAGGAAGGUCCCCCACAUUGGAACUGAGACACGGUCCAA